GGAGGGGGGCUCCGGCGGCAGCAAAUGAAAACGGGACCGUUCCUCCGACCAGUCAAAACAGUUCAUUAAAUCACUCGGCAGGCAAAGGCGAUUACAGCAGGCAGAGAGGUGGACGCUUCUAAAGAUACUGCGGCACUACACAAAACAACGCACAAGUGAGCGCUGCCUCAAAGGCUGACUGCAAGGGCAACUGAUGACAGAGCCAGGAGAGCACAAGCAGCCCUGAAACACACCAGGCAAGGGGAGGCACAACAACAGAGUUGAGACAGUGGAUAAAGGAAUCGGCAUAAAAAGUGAAAUAAGCACCUACAGCUAUCUUUUCCUUUUGGUCUUCGAGGAAACAGGCUACCUUCCAGUGGUCAAAUGAAAGAUAAAGACAGUAGAAGGCAAGGUUCCCAGACCUGCAUCUCAACGGUGGGAGGUAAAGGGAAGAGAGAGGAAGAAAUUUUAUUUAUUGUUUCUUCCUUGUUAUUCACUCUGGGAAAAUUCUGCAGAAACUGGAGGUUUACUAUUUCUGUCAAAUUUGUCAUACAAAAUAUGUUAUGAUGGAUGAUUAACAAACUCAGGCUUUCUGUCAAAAAGUUAUGUGUCCCUCUGUAGCUUUGCUCAAGUAUUACCACUACAUACGUACUGUAAUUUUUUUAGUAUCUACAUAACAUAGUUGAAAAACUCUGCAGGCAGUGAGAUCACAGUUAAAAAAAAAGUUGGAAACAUGCACAAGAGGCUAUUCAUUGUGCUAUUUUUACUGUUGUGAACUCCAUCCUAUGAACAAUGACUCCUAAGAGUUGCAAGGUGGAGAAGCACUUGCAAACCAUACAAGCUUGUUUACUCAUUGCACUGAUUCAUUAUGUUCCUCGGUGUAAAAUCUAUGGGACUCAAGAAAAAGCAUGAGGGAGAAAUUCUGUUUCCUGAACAGCUCUUCCACCCACCAAGCCCUGCUGAGAUGGUGGAGGUCGUGUGAGGGGUCUCGGCGUACACCUCUUGAUGUCCACCUCCGAGAAGGAGAGGCUGGCCUGGCUGGUGAAUAGCCCCUACACACCAGUGGAGCACAUUCCCUCUGGUGCCUUCACUGUCUUGCUUUAUCAGCAUCCACGACAGGGUGCAAAGAGCAAUUAAAACAGAUAAUUUUUUUGUUUGGCUUCCCCCCACCCCACCCCGUAAUUCUGAGAUGAUGAUAACUUGGUGGGUCUAUGAAAUUAUUUUUGAGAGGUUUGGCAAAGUUCAUUAUAGCAUGGUACAAAAGCAAAUUAGUUUUCCCAUAUAAUGCAGUGGCAUUAUGGGCCCCAAAAACUAUUAGAAUAAGAAUGAAUAAUAAUUAAUAAUAAUAUGAUCUGCUUCACCACUGAACUCUUGUUAUGACGUUAAAACUUUUCUGUCUCUCCAGGCCUAGCCACAUUUUAUUUCAAGCUAGAUUCUUUGCAGGAGGUGAAGAGGAGGUUGGUGUUCUCUUUGUACACUGGUUGUUUUUGCAUAGAGCAAGGCUGAUAUUUUGCUUCUGCUGCCUUUGUCCUCAUUUCACUGUUCUGCCUUGAGAUUUUUUUUAUCCUGCCUAGCAGGUUGCUUAGAAGCCUGGGCAAUAUAUUCCCAUGUCCAUAUGUUGAAAUCGAAACAAAUAAUGUACAGUCAAAACACACUGUCAACAUUUCCCAUUUCCAAUAUAUGGUUCGUCUAUCAUAAAAGAGAAAAGGGUAUGUUGGUACUUUAGCAUAUCAUACAACAGGACCAAAACAUUUAACUUGAAAAGUAAAAUCUCGAACACCCAGAAACAGGCAUCUUCACCACAGACUUUGUUUUUCUUAAGGCUAGAUUGGGGUUACCUUUGAAUCUCAUAGCUAGUAUACCUGAAAGGUGGAUAAUUUUGCCAAGUACAAUAACAUGAAUAAGUGCUGUUACUUAGAUAUCUGAAAAUAUUUUGGUGAAAAAGCCUAAGACGACAGUGAAACAGUGCAACACUGGGUUGUAAUUGGUAUUUUUUUCUCAAGGUAAAGUGAAACCCAUGAAGAUACUUGACUAAACAUGUCAGCUGUGAACAAAUGAAAAUGACGGCACUGAAAGAUUAGAUAAUAGCUCUGUGAUUCAUAUUUAAGAGUGAAUAAUAGUGAAAUAAUUUGGGGAAUACUCAGAAAUAUUGCUAAGAGGAAACCACAGAAAAGGCACAGGGACCAGGUUCAAAAAGAAGGGACAGCUGACAUGUAAAUCCAAAUCCAGCUGCUAAUAACCAAAGGCACAGGCAAGAUGAAAGAGCUAUUUGAAAAACUUGGUUUUACAAGAGAAAACUGGGCAAUAAGGGGAAAAAGAGGAGUGAAAGAAAUAAUUAGACACUUACAGAGUACAGCCUAUGCCACUUCUCCCCAAAACUGACAGCUCUGCUUAAACAUUACAUAUUUUCAUCACACAUUUAUAUGUAUGGAGUACAAAAGUCCAGCACCACAGGCAGCAGGGAAAAACUAUACAUUUUCAAUUAAAAAUUCCUAUAUUUCAAAUUGAUUUUAUGACAGAUAACGUCAGAUAUGGCAUAAGAAGACUAGUCUACAGAAAUACAGGAGAUCUAAAAUAUAAUAAUCAUACAUAGUAAUACUCGCCACUGCUAAUUCACCUUCCUUGCCUUGACUCUUGUCAAGUCCCUGAUACAAAACUAUCUAUGUAAGGCAGAUAGUGUCUUUGGUUCCAAUUUAACUUUCUGCUAUACCACAUUGUUCCUAAGACACCACAUUAUCUCUAAAACAUGUGCAAAAUUGAAGUCAUGUCAGAUUCUGUUACUGUCCAAGAGCAAACAUUUUAAUAGCAUGCUAUUAGUUCUAUAUUUAAUACUAAAAUGGUAGCAGUACCUCUUCCGCGAAGUUAGUUUUCUUGUCAAGCAUUUCUCGUAAUGUCUGAAGAAUUUUAAUGCAGAGCUUUUCUUCUUUCUCCAUCAGCUUCUUUGUGUGAUUAAUCAACCUUAAAGUAAAAUAUUAAAACUUAAAUAGCACUGCACAUUGUUGCUAAGACAUACUAUUAUCCAACUUUUUUAUGCAAAAAUUGCCUGUCACUAUAUUUUUCCUCAAGGAAAGGAAAUAAAAUUAGACGAGAGAAAUCAUAAUUAAAAAGGAAAUGAGACUUUCAA